AGAGGAGAUGUGGAAACCACCACCACAAAAAAAAGCCAAACAACAUAUAGGAAAAAUGUUUUUAGAAGCAGAUAGAAAGGCAAAGGAGUAUGCUAGAGAGCGUGAUAGGGCCUAUGAAGAAUUAGAGAAAGAGCGGUUGCGGAUUAGGACAGAAGAAUUGAGAGUUAGAGAAUUAGAGAUGCAUGAAAGGGUGAGACAAAGAGAUGAUGAAUUGCGAUUACAGGCUAAAUGGUUGGACUUUAUGAAAGAGGCUAUGGAAGUUUUUGUAAGGUGUAUGGAAAAAAAAACUUAGAUUAAGGUUAUUUUUUAAUUGUUAUAAAAAUGCAAUUUUUAAAAUUAUUAAUAAAGAAUUAAAGUUA